CGGGGGGCAGCAGUGAGGAAUUUUGGACAAUGGGGGAAACCCUGAUCCAGCGAUGUCGCGUGUAUGAUGAAGGCCUUUUGGUUGUAAAGUACUUUCGUCGGUGAAGAUAAUGACGGUAACCGAAAAAGAAGCUCCGGCUAACUUCGUGCCAGCAGCCGCGGUAAGACGAAGGGAGCGAGCGUUGCUCGGAAUAAUUGGGCGUAAAGGGUGCGUAGGUGGUUUUUUAAGUGAGAUGUUAAAGACCUGGACUCAAUCUAGGAAAUGCAUUUCAUACUGAAAAACUUGAGUGUGGGAGAGGAAAUAGGAAUUUCUCAUGUAGAGGUGAAAUUCGUAGAUAUGAGAAGGAACACCAAAGGCGAAGGCAAAUUUCUGGAACACUACUGACACUGAGGCACGAAAGCGUGGGGAGCAAACAGGAUUAGAUACCCGUGU
rnacentral:rRNA from 1 species